rnacentral:lncRNA from 1 species
AUAAAUUGUAGUAAUUGUUUAAUAUCUGAUCAUUUCACUUAAUAAUUAUCAAUUUUACCGAAAGACCGAUUAUAGGGACGUUAGCUGUAAAAUUUAUGUUUAUAUCGGUUAGAAAAAAAUCGUAUUUUAAAAAUAACAUACUGAAAAGCUUAAGAACAUUCAAAUUACGAAAAGUCCAAAAAUACAAUUAACAUAGCAUGAACGGCCUUGCAUAUAACUGUAUGUAUGCAAAAGAUAUACAUCUAUCUAUACUAAUAAACGAGAAG